rnacentral:rRNA from 1 species
CCUACGGGUGGCUGCAGUGGGGAAUAUUGGACAAUGGGCGAAAGCCUGAUCCAGCCAUGCCGCGUGUGUGAAGAAGGCCUUCGGGUUGUAAAGCACUUUCAGUGGGGAAGAAAGCCUUGGGGCUAAUACCCUCGAGGAAGGACAUCACCCACAGAAGAAGCACCGGCUAACUCCGUGCCAGCAGCCGCGGUAAUACGGAGGGUGCGAGCGUUAAUCGGAAUUACUGGGCGUAAAGCGCGCGUAGGCGGUCUGAUAAGCCGGUUGUGAAAGCCCCGGGCUCAACCUGGGAACGGCAUCCGGAACUGUCAGGCUAGAGUGCAGGAGAGGAAGGUAGAAUUCCCGGUGUAGCGGUGAAAUGCGUAGAGAGCGGGAGGAAUACCAGUGGCGAAGGCGGCCUUCUGGACUGACACUGACGCUGAGGUGCGAAAGCGUGGGUAGCAAACAGGAUUAGAUACCCCAGUAGUC